rnacentral:rRNA from 1 species
UUAGGUGAUUAUUGCAGUGAGGCCCACCUCUUCCCAUUCCGAACAGAGAAGUUAAGCUCACUAGCGCAGAUGGUACUGGAGUAAUAUCCGGGAGAGUAUGUCGUCGCCGCUU